rnacentral:rRNA from 1 species
UAGCAUAUCAAUAAGCGGAGGAAAAGAAACCAACAGGGAUUGCCCUAGUAACGGCGAGUGAAGCGGCAACAGCUCAAAUUUGAAAUCUGGCUCUCGGGCCCGAGUUGUAAUUUGUAGAGGAUACUUUUGAUGCGGUGCCUUCCGAGUUCCCUGGAACGGGACGCCAUAGAGGGUGAGAGCCCCGUCUGGUUGGAUGCCAAAUCUCUGUAAAGUUCCUUCAACGAGUCGAGUAGUUUGGGAAUGCUGCUCUAAAUGGGAGGUAUAUGUCUUCUAAAGCUAAAUACCGGCCAGAGACCGAUAGCGCACAAGUAGAGUGAUCGAAAGAUGAAAAGCACUUUGAAAAGAGAGUUAAAAAGUACGUGAAAUUGUUGAAAGGGAAGCGUUUAUGACCAGACUUGGGCUUGGUUAAUCAUCUGGGGUUCUCCCCAGUGCACUUUUCCAGUCCAGGCCAGCAUCAGUUUUCCCCGGGGGAUAAAGGCGGCGGGAAUGUGGCUCUCUUCGGGGAGUGUUAUAGCCCGUCGUGUAAUACCCUGGGGGGGACUGAGGUUCGCGCAUCUGCAAGGAUGCUGGCGUAAUGGUCAUCAACGACCCGUCUUGAAACACGGACCAAGGAGUCGUCUUCGUAUGCGAGUGUUCGGGUGUCAAACCCCUACGCGUAAUGAAAGUGAACGCAGGUGAGAGCUUCGGCGCAUCAUCGACCGAUCCUGAUGUUCUCGGAUGGAUUUGAGUAAGAGCAUACGGGGCCGGACCCGAAAGAAGGUGAACUAUGCCUGUAUAGGGUGAAGCCAGAGGAAACUCUGGUGGAGGCUCGCAGCGGUUCUGACGUGCAAAUCGAUCGUCAAAUAUGGGCAUGGGGGCGAAAGACUAAUCGAACCUUCUAGUAGCUGGUUUCCGCCGAU